rnacentral:lncRNA from 1 species
CUCCCCACAGUCCCGUUUUCCUGUCCAUGCUUGGAUGGAUCCAGCCGAGCCGUCAGCCGCAGCUGCGCGCUGCUCCCCCGACUCGCACCCCCUCGGCGAAGCGCUGCAUUUUAUGUAAUUUUCUGCCGGGCUGCUGGCUUGUGGGGGAUGUGGCUGGGUCUCGGCAGCCUUCAGCGCCGCAGACGCUCCGGCAACGCCAGCAUACGAGGCCCCCGCCCCAGGAGCGCGGGUCCGGGCGGCGUUCCCCUCUGCGGGAGGCGCGGCGAGCCAAUCCUCACUUUAAAAGCUUUCCUGUCCUCGAAGCGAGGGGUCUUCCGUGCGGGGCAAGACGCACUGGCCCCAGACGACCGGUCCGUGAAAUGACCCUUCCGAGCGACCCGGAGCGGGCGACCUUGCCCAACCCGCGACUCGGGGCCCCUGCGGUCCCGCGUAGAGGACCCAGGUCCCACGGGGGGCGGCGGUGAAUCGCCCCCUCUUGUGGC